rnacentral:rRNA from 1 species
UACGGGGGGGGCAAGCGUUGUUCGGAAUUACUGGGCGUAAAGGGCUCGUAGGCGGCCAACUAAGUCGGAUGUGAAAUCCCCAGGCUUAACCUGGGAACUGCAUCCGAUACUGGAUGGCUUGAAUUCGGGAGAGGGAUGCAGAAUUCCAGGUGUAGCGGUGAAAUGCGUAGAUAUCUGGAGGAAUACCAGUGGCGAAGGCGAGUCCCUGGACAACUACUGACACUGAGGCACGAAAGCUAGGGGAGCAAACAGG